rnacentral:lncRNA from 1 species
CUAGGCCGGGGCCUGGAUGUGGCCAGUGUGGACUCCUUGAGCUAGCUAACUCACCAAGAGAUCUUGCAGAUACUGCAGCGCUCACCUGGACUGAGAGGAACCUCGUGGAUGGGCAAUGUGAGCCUAAGUUUUGAAGGAUGUGUGUUCAGAGUGAAUUAUAUGCACAGGUAAAUGGUUCUCAUUAAGGUACACAUCAUGUACUAUUGCUACAUUUCCUUUUUUGAACAUGUUAUUAAUUGCCAUGACUUUAAAUUGUUUACUACUCCAUAUACAGUCAGUGACUCAAACCUCCUGAAAGAAGUUCAAGCCUUAUCUAAGUGUCUCCACACAUGCCAUUACUCCUGUAUUUAUUCAAAAUCAUCUCCUGAAGAGAGGAUUUAUUGGAAGCCACAGAACAACAAGUAUUGCGAGACUCUUCUUAUAUGAGGUGCCUACUGUGGUAAAUUCACAGGCAUGGAAAAUGGUGGUUGCAUGUGGGUGGGACUAUCAGGAAUUAUUAUUUAAGAAGUAGAGAAUUUUAGUUUUAUAAGAUGAUAGAAGUUCUUGCAUAAAUGGUUUUUGUGAUGCUUCAUCUUCAAUGUCUAUAGGAGAAACUGCGGCCAGCCUACCCAAGCCGCAAUUGCCCUGCCCCCAGUGCCCAGGCCAGCCCGCAUGCGCAUUGAGCAUGUGCAGUGGGCACUGCCUCCCUGAGCCAAGCCACCAAACCUGCCUAGAGGCUCAGAGACUACUGAUGGAGAGACACCUAACCCAGAGACACCAAUGAGGAAAGGACAACUCAACAGAGUCAGCAGCCUGAGCCAAUAGGACCUUGGGAGGGGGUAUAAAGGCAGGUCUGAGUCACUUGAUAAAGUCUGCAGCGUGCUCUGCUACUCACUGACUCCUAGUGCCUGAGUGGUUGGUACUGUCUUCUCACCCACCUCCUCCAAGGGGUGUUCGAACAGGGUAACCUGCAACAUCUGGAGUCUAAACCUGGGGCUUGUGGAUCCCUUGCUGGCAUGGGUCUCAGCCCCGCUUAAAUCAGGGUGUAUUUUUCUUUUCCAUCACUGUGGCUGUUUUUUUGUUUAGACCUUCAUCUUUGCCUUUUGUUGCUGGUGGUGCAUUGUCGGAUCCUACGCUGGUGAACUUUCACUUUAUCUAUCUUCAUCCUUCGGACUCCUCUUCACUCAACAUAGUGUGUUUCGGCACCCCUUCUUCAUGACUUGUUCGGUGAGUUGGCCCCUCCUUGCUUCCUAUCCAUUAUGGUCCUCGAGAAGGUGAGUGUAGGGACCCUCCUAUUCUGUCUUUUGCUUUGUGUCUGUUUGGUACCCCUGGUGCAUUAGGUAGGAAUAUCUACUACACUUAGGUCUGACACACUUCCUGUUUUGUUGUAGUCUAUCUUUGUUUUAGACUUUGUUCCAGUCUGUGUCUCCUGCCAUUAAGAGAAUGU